AGCGAACGCUGGCGGCAGGCUUAACACAUGCAAGUCGAGCGGGCCCCUCCGGAUUUCAGCGGCACACGGGCGUGAAGCGCGGGGGACUGCACCCAUCGUUUCGAUACCACUCUGGGAAACUGGCGCUAACCCCGUAAUCGCUCCUAACGGAAAAGGUUUCCUGCCCUAGGAUCGGCCCGCGUGUGUUUAUCUAGGUGGUGGGGUAAGGGCCUACCAAGGCGACGAUCCAUAGCUGGUCUGAGAGGAUGAUCAGCCACACUGGGACUGAGACACGGCCCAGACUCCUACGGGAGGCAGCAGUGGGGAAUAUUGGACAAUGGGCGCAAGCCUGAUCCAGCCAUGCCGCGUGAGUGAUGAAGGCCUUAGGGUUGUAAAGCUCUUUUGUCCGGGACGAUAAUGACGGUACCGGAAGAAUAAGCCCCGGCUAACUUCGUG
rnacentral:rRNA from 1 species